AUGUGUUUUUAUAGGCCUGACUUUUGUUGUUCUUUUAGACAGUCUUAGUCCAGGCUGGCCUUAAACUUUGUUUGCCCAAGAUAAACUUGAACUGAUCUUCAUGCCUCUACCUCCUAAAGAGCUGAGAUUACAGUCCUGUGACACUGUGCUUGGCUCAGAAAUUCUUUAUCAAAGAAAUGCAAGUGUUUCUUAAGGGAUGCAGAAGAUAUUUGCAGUUAGUCUGCUGCAAACCUUUAUUUUUUUAAUUUGCUUUAUAUGUAUAGGUGUUUUGCAUAUAUGUCUGUGCACCAUGUGCAUUCCUAGUGCCCAAGGUGGCCAGAAGAGGGCAUUGGAUUUCUAGAAUAGAUGGUUCUGAGCCACCAUGUGGGUGGGUACUAGGAAUCCAACCUGAAAAUCUCCGGGAAGAGCAGCUAGCACUCUUCACCACUGAGCCAACUCUUCAGCCCCAUGCUGCAGAGACAUUUAGUAAGUUAAGCGGAGAAAAGACCUGAUUUGAUCUUUUGGCUUUUACUUCUGUUUUGCAGCUUUUAAAGUUUUAUUUGGGGAAGAGGCACACAUACCUUGUCCUGUGUAUGCAGGUCAGAUGCACUUGUGGACGGCAGAGGACUUGUGGUAGUCCAUUUCCCUCUUUCCAUUAUGCUGGCCCUAGGAUCAAACUUGGGUUGUCAGUCUUGGCAGCUGUACCUUUUUACACUGCACUGUCUGGUCGCUUUGUCUUUUUUCCGUUUAUGAUAUCUUUUGUUUCCUUAUAAGUCCUUAAAUAAUACCUUAAAAUUGUGUCGCUCUUUGACGUAUUUUCUGUGUAAUUCUCUUGUUCUUAUACUACCUGCAUUAUCUUUAUGUCACUGUAGCAAAUGCCUAUCAUAAGUCAACUCUCAGGAGCCAUAAUGGGACAAGCUAAUAACUAGCAGGUGAUCAUCCUGAAGUGGCCUGCCUCGGAUUAUUAUAUAAUCUGCGACAGGUGCGCCCUUAUUAAGAAAGGCUGUAAGGGACUCAUUUUAGGAAAGAUGCCUGCUAUUAAUGUGCUUUUCCUGUUACUAUUAAACAUAUAUAACAAUCACUAAGUAGUAGCACACCCCUGUGGAGCAGAUCUCUGCAGAUCCACAAAGAGCUUGUCGUGUUGCUAUAUAGACAAAUAGAUGACUUAAGUCUUCAUGAUGAUCCUAUAAGAAUUCCUAAAAUUAUAUCUGUGUUUAUUAAGCUCUUUUAUAACAGGACUGCUAUUAGGUCCUUUUUUGAUAGUCAAAGCUGCAAUGAGAACUCUGCCCAAGUGUCCCCAGUUAAUUGCUCUUAGAUAGUAACCAGACUUUAUCCUAUUCAGAGUACACUCCAAGAAGUUGUAAAACAAUUAACCAAAGGUCAUAAAAAGGGAACUAAUGAUUUAUUAUAGGUGUUAGGACAGAAGAUAAAAUAUCUAUUGGGCUUAUCUAUACAAAACUUCACUGAUAACUUAGUUAUGGUUUUAAACCUUCAGGGACCCUGUAGAGCUGAGACAAGUGAUGGAUGUUUAGCCAGAUAAUUACUCCUAACUGUUAGGAGCGUGCAUGUAAACAUUCACUGUUGUAAACUUCUAUUUCAGUUUAUGAUUUGAUUUUAUGUGUGAACUUGUGAUGAACUUGUAACAUGUGAUCAUGUAUUCUGGAAGAUAUAUAAGUACUGAGGACAGAGAGAUGAGGGGAGAGAAAGGAGAAUUUUUUCCCUUUCCCCACUUAGAGAACUUUUUCCCUUUCCCCACUCAGGAUCUUUUUGCUUAGAUAGCUUUCAUAGGAAACUUUUUUACAACUUAGUAAUAAACUCUAUAACCACUUUUCUAAGUGUCCUUUUUUCUCCCUGCAACUUCCAACUAGCAGGCUGAAAGUUAGAGCCCAGCAGCAAUUCCUGCUGCGAUAGAACAAAGGCUAUUAACUUAAUCCUUUGUGGUUUGAGGAAGAGGUGCUAAGUGCCAGAAACUGCAGUCUCUGCCUCAGAGGAUCACAGAAGGCAGGUCAGCUACAAUAGCAUAGUAACUUAGAAUUAGACAAGUAACUUUUUAGUAUAUAGCAACCCUAAAUAUAAGAACCAAGAACCCUCCGCCUACGCGCUCCCCCUCUGCUGUCUCAAGAAGAACC
rnacentral:lncRNA from 1 species